AGGCCUCGAAAGUUCACAUCUAACUACUGGGUGGUCCGAUUCUGAGUGAUCUCGAAGUUUCUUGCCCACAGAAGCCGAACGGCGAUGCCCAGACUCGGUUUCCUGGUUCCGUCCCAAAACGCCGAAGAAAGGCACAAUGGCCUAGAAAGGAACGACCGGACUUAGAACGGCCUCGAAAGUUCACAUCUAACCACUGGUUGGUCCGAUUCUGAGUGAUCUCGAAGUUUCUUGCCCACAGAAGCCGAACGGCGAUGCCCUAGACUCGGUUUCUUGGUUCCGUCCCAAAACGCCGAAGAAAGGCACAAAGGCCUUGAAAGGAACGACCGGACUGAGAACGGCCUCGAAAGUUCACAUCUAACCACUGGGUGGUCCGAUUCUGAGUGAUCUCGAAGUUUCUUGCCCACAAAAGCCGAACGGUGAUGCCCCAGACUCGGUUUCUUGGUUCCGUCCCAAAACGCCGAAGAAAGGCACAAUGGCCUAGAAAGGAACGACCGGACU
rnacentral:lncRNA from 1 species